rnacentral:rRNA from 1 species
UUUAUGGCGAGUUUGAUCCUGGCUCAGAGCGAACGCUGGCGGCGUACUUAACACAUGCAAGUCGAACGGGGAUCGUCGGGUUAGCAAUAAUUCGGCGGUCCUAGUGGCGUACGGGUGAGUAACACGUGGGUAACCCGCCCUCGAGACCGGGAUACCCUCUCGAAAGGGAGGCUAAUACCGGAUACGUUCUCCGGGUCGCACGACCUGGGGAGGAAAGGUGGCGCAAGCUGCCGCUCUUGGAGGGGCUCGCGGCCUAUCAGCUAGUUGGUGAGGUAACGGCUCACCAAGGCGAUGACGGGUAGCUGGUCUGAGAGGACGACCAGCCACACGGGAACUGAGACACGGUCCCGACUCCUACGGGAGGCAGCAGUGGGGAAUUUUCCGCAAUGGGCGAAAGCCUGACGGAGUGACGCCGCGUGGGGGACGAAGGCCUUCGGGUCGUAAACCCCUGUCAGAGGGAAAGAAGGGUGUCGGCGCGAUAACCGCCGGCAUCUGACGGUACCUUCAGAGGAAGCCCCGGCCAACUCUGUGCCAGCAGCCGCGGUAAGACAGAGGGGGCAAGCGUUGCUCGGAAUCACUGGGCGUAAAGGGCGCGUAGGCGGGACGGCAAGUCGGUCGUGAAAUCCUUCGGCUCAACCGAAGAACGUCGGCCGAUACUGCCGUUCUUGAGGGAUGCAGAGGAGACUGGAAUUCCCGGUGUAGCGGUGAAAUGUGUAGAGAUCGGGAGGAACACCGGUGGCGAAGGCGGGUCUCUGGGCAUCUCCUGACGCUGAGGCGCGAAAGCGUGGGGAGCAAACGGGAUUAGAUACCCCGGUAGUCCACGCUGUAAACGAUGACGACU